GCAAAGCCGCGAGGCAGAGCAAACCCCUAAAAAGACCAUCCCAGUUCGGAUUGCAGGCUGCAACCCGCCUGUAUGAAGUUGGAAUCGCUAGUAAUCGCGGAUCAGCAUGCCGCGGUGAAUACGUUCCCGGGCCUUGUACACACCGCCCGUCACACCAUGAGAGUCGGGAACACCCGAACUCCGUAGCCUAACCGCAAGGAGGGCGCGGCCGAAGGUGGGUUCGAUAAUUGGGGUGAAGUCGUAACAAGGUAUC
rnacentral:rRNA from 1 species